rnacentral:rRNA from 1 species
AUUGAACGCUGGCGGCAGGCCUAACACAUGCAAGUCGAACGAGUGGCGGACGGGUGAGUAAUGUCUGGGAAACUGCCUGAUGGAGGGGGAUACCUACUGGAAACGGUAGCUCAUACCGCAUACCUUCAGAUGUGCCCCGAGGGGAUUAGCUCGUAGGUGGGGUAACGGCUCACCUAGGCGACGAUCCCUAGCUGGUCUGAGAGGAUGACCAGCCACACUGGAACUGAGAAACGGUCCAGAGUCCUACGGGAGGCAGCAGAGGGGAAGAGUGCACAAUGGGGGCAAGCCGGAUGCAGCCAUGCCGCGUGGAUGAAGAAGGCCUUCGGGUGGUAAAGUACUUUCAGCGGGGAGGCGUUACCCGCAGAAGAAGCACCGGCUAACUCCGUGCCAGCAGCCGCGGUAAUUC